rnacentral:lncRNA from 1 species
ACCAGAAUCGGGAAGCCAGCGAGCACACAGGAAGGCUGAGUGGUGGCAGUGGUGGUGAUGGGGUGUUGGGCUCAGCCAUCAGAGGUUGGGGUGGUGGGAGGUACAGGAGAUGGGGUGUAGGAGAGAGAGGAAGAGAGUCAUCUAUCAACAUCUCAUUGUCGUCUCAACCCAUCAGGGCAGGCAGGUCACUGACAUCUACACCUUUUAUGUCUGCUGCCUCCAUGUCCAAGGUCAAGGUUCAUCAUCUGCUGUGGUUGAUGUGGCUGAUGCAAAAGCUUGAAAUAUGAUGGUAUGCUUGACUGCUUAACCUUAUAACGCUUUGAUACAAAACAAACGCUGAACGCUAUUUUCGUUUUUCUCCUUUUUCUGUAAAAGCAAAAAUCCUCUUCGAAUUCCUUUCAUUUAGCAAAAACAGGCACUAAUGUAGGUCUCUAGUAAAAGCAAAGUGGCGUAAAGCAAACUUUCAGACAGCAGGGGAAACCUGUAUUUAACUACCUUCUCUCAGCCCCUACAUCCCACACAUUCUCCUCCAUAAAAUCAGCUAGAAUUCUCCGCGUGGGAAGGAAGGGAGAUGGGGAGGAAGAGAGACUCGCACCUGAGAAGCCAUAUCAGAAUAUCAAUAGCACGUGUGGCAGUUUCCCACCAUGUGAUUCUGAUCAAGCAUCCCUGCCACGGGUUGACUCCCAGCCCCCUGCUGAGAGUGUCCCUGUCACAGAGGUUUAUUCCAGUGGAGGAUUUGGACAUUCAGAGAUUUAGCUGAAAUGCAUGUGAAUAGAUUACUACUAAGAGAUUUACUUUGAAAUAUUUUGAGAGUAACUCUCCUGAGAUGCUGAAAACACUUCAACCUCGACAUUUCGGUAAAAAGAGUUUUUCUCUUCAUAAUGGCACAAAGUGGAAGCAAUGGACUCAAAAUAACCCAGGAGGCCUGGAACACAUGGGGAAUAUAAAAUAUUGAUUUGGAAGGCUGGAAGGGCUGCCUUAAGAGCAGGUAUCAGAUAAUCAUGGAAAAGAUGAAGCAAGAAGACAAUCCACCAGGUCAUUCUCACUUUAGGAAUUCUGGCUUUCAAUAAAGGUGAAGUAGCUUAUAUCAGACUAGCCCUCCUGUUGGUAACAACUAGAAACUCUGUGGAAAAGAACUACUGUUUGAAGCCACGGAAGAGUGACAAAAUCAUCACAAACUAAAGGAGAUUCCAUCUUUGAAAGAGGAGAACCACAUUGUUGGAGAUCCACACUUAUAUGCUUUUCCCCUAAUGGCACUUCCCAGUCUACAGCCCAGGGUAGAUAGAACUUGAGCAAAACAUUAGCUUGAGGAGUCAGGGGAGACACUCAGGGGCUGCCAGAGUGGCUAGAAGUUGAGAGGGGGAAAUUCUGUAAAGGAGAGUAACAAAUGAGAAAAGCCCCAAAUCUAUGUAUAACACCACUCAGAUCCUUGACUGACUCCUAAACUGCAGAUAUAUACAGUAUUGGGGAAAGGCAACAGUUAGAAGAAACUUCAGUGAAUGCACAGUCAGAUUUUGAAAUUAGAGCUCUGCCAAGUAAGAGUGGAUUGAUAAACACGUCAGGAUUUCCAUUAAAGUCCCAGAAGCACCACAUUUUAAGAUUAAAAACUACAAACCAGGGAGCCGGCCAGGUGGUACAGUGGUUAAGUUUACACAUUCUGCUUCAGCAGCCUGGGGUUCGCCAGUUCAGAUCCCAGGCAUGGACUUACACACCUUUUGUCAAGCCAUGCUGUGGCAGGAAUCCCACAUAUAAAGUAGAGGAAGAUGGGCAUGGAUGCUAGCUCAGGGCCAGUCUUCCUCAGCGAAAAGAGGAGGCCUGGUGGCAGAUGUUAGCUCAGGGCUAAUCUUCCUUAAAAAAAAAACAACAAAACUACAAACCAGGACUAAGUGUGACUUGCCAACAAUUAAACCUCCUGAUAGAA